ACCUGAUCGAGUUGGCACAAGGGCUGCAUUCACAACUACCACAAACCACAUAAAGCGCGACCUUCAACGACGAAGGCUGCACUUCCCGAUAGAACGGGACCUGGACAAAGGCGUCCUCGCUAGGUGACUAGCGGGACGCC
rnacentral:sRNA from 3 species